rnacentral:rRNA from 1 species
CCUACGGGCGGCAGCAGUGGGGGAUAUUGCACAAUGGGGGAAACCCUGAUGCAGCGACGCCGCGUGUGGGAAGACGGUCCUCUGGAUUGUAAACCACUGUCCCCAGGGACGAAGAUGACGGUACCUGGGGGGGAAGCUCCGGCUAACCACGUGCCAGCAGCCGCGGUAAUACGUAGGGAGCGAGCGUUGUCCGGAUUUACGGGGUGUAAAGGGAGCGUAGGCGGUACUGCAAGUUGGGGGUCAAAUCUACCGGCUCAACCGGUAGCCGCACUCAAGACUGCAAUUCUUGAGUGCAGUAGAGGCAGGCGGAAUUCCUAGUGUAGCGGUGAAAUGCGUAGAUAUUAGGAAGAACACCAGUGGCGAAGGCGGCCUGCUGGGCUUUUACUGACGCUGAGGCUCGAAAGUGUGGGGAGCAAACAGGAUUAGAUACCCCUGUAGUC